GCCUUCGUGGUGUAGUGGUUAGCCCACUCGGUGCGCAUUCGAGAGGUCUGUGGUUCGAGUCCUGGCGAGAGCA
rfam:Stegodyphus mimosarum contig79152, whole genome shotgun sequence.